AACGAACGCUGGCGGCAUGCCUAAUACAUGCAAGUCGAACGAGAUCUUCGGAUCUAGUGGCGCACGGGUGCGUAACGCGUGGGAAUCUGCCCUUGGGUUCGGAAUAACUUCUGGAAACGGAAGCUAAUACCGGAUGAUGACGUAAGUCCAAAGAUUUAUCGCCCAAGGAUGAGCCCGCGUAGGAUUAGGUAGUUGGUGAGGUAAAGGCUCACCAAGCCGACGAUCCUUAGCUGGUCUGAGAGGAUGAUCAGCCACACUGGGACUGAGACACGGCCCAGACUCCUACGGGAAGCAGCAGUAGGGAAUAUUGGACAAUGGGCGAAAGACUGAUCCAGCAAUGCCGCGUGAGUGAUGAAGGCCUUAGGGUUGUAAAGCUCUUUUACCCGGGAUGAUAAUGACAGUACCGGGAGAAUAAGCUCCGGCUAACUCCGUG
rnacentral:rRNA from 1 species